rnacentral:rRNA from 1 species
UACGUAGGGUGCGAGCGUUAAUCGGAACUACUGGGCGUAAAGCGUGCGCAGGCGGUUUUGUAAGCCAGAUGUGAAAGCCCCGGGCUCAACCUGGGAAUGGCAUUUGGGACUGCAAGGCUUGAGUGCGGCAGAGGAGACUGGAAUUCCUGGUGUAGCAGUGAAAUGCGUAGAUAUCAGGAGGAAUACCGAUGGCGAAGGCAGGUCUCUGGGCUGACACUGACGCUCAUGCACGAAAGCGUGGGGAGCAAACAGG